AGACAGUAGAGUAAUGUAGGUGUUUAUUAAAGACAGUAGAGUAAUGUAGGUGUGUAUUAGACAGUAGAGUAAUGUAGGUGUGUAUUAAAGACAGUAGAGUAAUGCAGGUGUGUAUUAGACAGUAGAGUAAUGUAGGUGUUUAUUAAAGACAGACAGUAGAGUAAUGUAGGUGUUUAUUAAAGACAGUAGAGUAAUGUAGGUGUUUAUUAAAGACAGUAGUGUAAUGUAGGUGUUUAUUAAAGACAGACAGUAGAGUAAUGUAGGUGUUUAUUAAAGACAGUAGAGUAAUGUAGGUGUUUAUUAAAGACAGUAGUGUAAUGUAGGUGUUUAUUAAAGACAGACAGUAGAGUAAUGUAGGUGUUUAUUAAAGACAGUAGAGUAAUGUAGGUGUUUAUUAAAGACAGUAGUGUAAUGUAGGUGUUUAUUAAAGACAGACAGUAGAGUAAUGUAGGUGUUUAUUAAAGACAGUAGAGUAAUGUAGGUGUUUAUUAAAGACAGUAGUGUAAUGUAGGUGUUUAUUAAAGACAGACAGUAGAGUAAUGUAGGUGUUUAUUAAAGACAGACAGUAGAGUAAUGUAGGUGUUUAUUAAAGACAGUAGAGUAAUGUAGGUGUUUAUUAAAGACAGUAGUGUAAUGUAGGUGUUUAUUAAAGACAGACAGUAGAGUAAUGUAGGUGUUUAUUAAAGACAGUAGAGUAAUGUAGGUGUUUAUUAAAGACAGUAGUGUAAUGUAGGUGUUUAUUAAAGACAGACAGUAGAGUAAUGUAGGUGUUUAUUAAAGACAGACAGUAGAGUAAUGUAGUGUUUAUUAAAGACAGUAGAGUGAUGUAGUGUUUAUUAAAGACAGUAGAGUAAUGUAGUGUUUAUUAAAGACAGUAGAGUAAUGUAG